rnacentral:rRNA from 1 species
AACGAACGCUGGCGGCAUGCCUAACACAUGCAAGUCGAACGAAGGCUUCGGCCUUAGUGGCGCACGGGUGCGUAACGCGUGGGAAUCUGCCCUUAGGUUCGGAAUAACAGCUGGAAACGGCUGCUAAUACCGGAUGAUAUCGCGAGAUCAAAGAUUUAUCGCCUGAGGAUGAGGCCGCGUUGGAUUAGGUAGUUGGUGGGGGAAAGGCCUACCAAGCCGACGAUCCAUAGCUGGUCUGAGAGGAUGAUCAGCCACACUGGGACUGAGACGCGGCCCAGACUCCUACGGGAGGCAGCAGUGGGGAAUAUUGGACAAUGGGCGAAAGCCUGAUCCAGCAAUGCCGCGUGAGUGAUGAAGGCCCUAGGGUUGUAAAGCUCUUUUACCCGGGAAGAUAAUGACUGUACCGGGAGAAUAAGCCCCGGCUAACUCCGUGCCAGCAGCCGCCGUAA